GACAGAGGAUGCAAGCGUUAUCCGGAAUGAUUGGGCGUAAAGCGUCUGUAGGUGGCUUUUUAAGUCCGCCGUCAAAUCCCAGGGCUCAACCCUGGACAGGCGGUGGAAACUACCAAGCUGGAGUACGGUAGGGGCAGAGGGAAUUUCCAGUGGAGCGGUGAAAUGUGUAGAUAUUGGAAAGACCACCGAUGGCGAAGGCACUCUACUGGGCCAUGGCUGACACUGAGAGACGAAAGCUAGGGAAGCAAAUGGG
rnacentral:rRNA from 1 species